rnacentral:piRNA from 1 species
UACAGUGCAUUGAGCUUUUGGUAAC